GAUGAACGCUGACAGAAUGCUUAACACAUGCAAGUCUACUUGAACUUCGGUUUGGGUGGCGGACGGGUGAGUCACGCGUAAAGAACUUGCCUCACAGUUAGGGACAACAUUUGGAAACGAAUGCUAAUACCUGAUAUUAUGAUUUUAGGGCAUCCUAGGAUUAUGAAAGCUAUAUGUGCUGUGUGAGAGCUUUGCGUCCCAUUAGCUAGUUGGAGAGGUAACGGCUCACCAAGGCGAUGAUGGGUAGCCGGCCUGAGAGGGUGAACGGCCACAAGGGGACUGAGACACGGCCCUUACUCCUACGGGAGGCAGCAGUGGGGAAUAUUGGACAAUGGACCAAAAGUCUGAUCCAGCAAUUCUGUGUGCACGAUGACGUUUUUCGGAAUGUAAAGUGCUUUCAGUUGGGAAGAAAAAAAUGACGGUACCAACAGAAGAAGUGACGGCUAAAUACGUG
rnacentral:rRNA from 1 species